AAGUGUGAUGGAUAAUUUUUAAAGAGCAAACAAGAAAAGCCCAAUAUACUUUUUUUCCUAUGAUACUCCAAAGAAUAGCUGCCAAAAUUCCCUCCAAUCAUCUUUUCCAGUGAGCUUCACGUCUUUAUCUCCAAAGUUUGCAAACUUUACUCACGCCAAACGGCAGACAUAAACACCCACAACCACCCCUCUUCUCUCCAACCGGGACUCCCUCUCCCUCUUCUCUUCUCCAUUCCCAGAAACCCACCAAACAACCGACUAAAACAACUCUUAAAUCUCGUCCUUUUCCAACCGAAAUCCCCCAGCAUGAUCCACCAUUGCUCCACCAACCAAGAUCGUAAACCAACCACCAUUUCCAUUCACAAAACCACCAACUAAGGCCUCCAAAUAACCCCAAUUUCAGUGCCUUCUCUAUUUUCUGACCGAAGCAACUCCAAGUGAUAUGCCAACACCAAGAGUAGUUGACCCUCACUACAACUCAGCUCACCGAAAAAUCACCUCCCAAAAUCACCCUCGUCCCCGGCAAAACCCCAACGAAAUGGACCAACAACAACCAAACAACCUUCGAUGAAGCCAAAAAUCAACAAAAAACUAGAACUACAAUAUGCCAGCAGAUUCCGACCUCUAAACCCUGUUUUGAGGGUGUAUGAGCUCUGACGACCACCACAAAGUUUAAGUCUCCAAGAUCCAAUGGAUAGCGAAACCAUCACAAACAAGAUUUGUCGGCCAAUAGUUUUAUAUCCAUCUCAAGUUCAUCGUUUCCUAUUCUUUUUAUAAAAAACAUAUUUUUUGUUUAAUUUUGGUUUAAAUGUUAACUAUUACUUAGGUCGGAUUCACUUUAUAUUUUUAUUUUUCUAAUGCUAUUAUGUUCUUUUUGUUUUUGAUUUAUAUUUCUUUGCUACAUUUAAUCUUCCAUGUUUUGUCCAUUUUUAUUGGUUUUAUUUAGUUAUAUUGUUUAUUUUAUUUAUAUAUGACAUCUAUUAAUUUAUUAAGGCUGACGCUUUUUUUUAGAGCUUCAGUGAAUUAUUUGUGGAUUAUUUCGUUUAUUUCAUUGUACUAUGUUUUGUUUGAAACUCUUAUCAACACUACUGCAUUCUCUAUUUUUAAUAUCUUAAAUCUGAUGCAAUUUAAUUUAGUUUUAUGUCUAUGUCAUGGUAUUUGUUUAUUUCUUCCUUGCUGUUAAUACACUUCAAUUUGCUAUUGUCUAAAUGUUUGUUUUUAUAAAAAAUAUAUUAUUAUGUUGACUUUGUAUACUUUUUAUAAUUAUUCUCGUGUUUGUGGAAUUGAUUAUUCCAUUUACCCAUUAUUUGCUCUAGUUUUUUUAGUUUCCUUAUUUUGAUUAUUCGUCAUUCAUCAUUUACAUAUUCAUUUUUUAUGUUUUUUUCUCUAGUUAGUGCUACUAAUUAACUCUCAAGAUAUAUUUUAAUCUUUUGUUAACUUGUGUGGUUUUGGUAAAGUUUUAUGUUACUUUUAUUAACCAUCUUAUUAUUUUAUUAUUUUAAUUUACUUGCCAAUAUGGUUGUGGUUGCUCUAGUCGUAUGAUCAUGGGUAGCGUGUCUCAUGUAGAAGAAGCCAAGAAAGACCUAGUGAAAGAUGUUCAUAGGUUGGCUCGUUUGGGUGUUAGAUUGGAAGAUUCUCUAAUUGGUGGUUUAAUGAUCCAUCAUAACUCUGAAUUGUCUUUGGUGGUUGAGGUGACAUCUAAGAAACACCUUGAUGAACCAUUGAUAAGUUGAAGGAGUCAGUUCUUGGUAAGCUUAAUGAGUUAUUCUCCUUAGGGGUAAUGGUGUCUUGAGAUAUCAAGGAAGAUUAUAUUUGCCCAAUAUGGAUGACUUGAGAAAUCGGAUUCUUGAGGAAUCUCAUGGUUCCCGUUAUCCCAUUCAUCCGGGUUCUACAAACAUGUAUAAUGACCUUAGAGAAAUGUUUUGGUAGGAAGGCUUAAAAGGGGAUAUAGUAUAAUUCUAUAUGGGUGGUUGUGGAUAGGUUGACCAAAUCCUCUCCUUCUAUUCCCGUCAAGUCUACCUACUCGGCGGAAGAUAAUGCAAGGAUCUUCAUAGAUGAGAUUGUGUGUCGCCAUGGUAUUAUGUUAUCCAUCAUAUCGGAUAGGGGUGCACAAUUCACAUCUAGGUUUUGGAGGUCGUUUGUAAUGACCCCAAAAAAUGAAAUACGUCAAACUAGAGCUUCACAUCUUCUUCAUGAAUUAAUAGUGUAUCUAAAUAGUGCAUAUAAUCACUAAAAGUCAGUUUGUGAAGUUUGGAAUUCAAACGUCCAAAAAGUCCAACACAAUCGGAAAAUGUGCCUUGGAAUGUGCUAGUGUAUCCUUCAUUUUGGUGCAUGUUUUUGGGUAGUGUUUGCUAUCUAAUACCAGUGGGGAUGAGCCUAGUACCUACCAAGUGUCAAAAUGUUCGAGUACGACUCCUCCGGGAUGACCCUAAGGGACCCCAAGGAGGACACAAACGUUUGACAAAGGAGCAGCCCAAGGCAGUGUGUAGGGGAAGAUUUUGAAGCCCAACUCGCAAUGCGCCUGUAGAACGAGGCACACUGCCUCAAAAUGCUGAAAGCCAAGAAUCAGCAGAUCCCUCCUUGACGCGCAUCGAAGACCUCUUUUUGGCCGCGUCGUUUUUAAGUAAAAUUUGAAUUUUAAAAAGGAUCCAAAUAGUGUAGGGAUUCUUUGGAAACUAUGGGGAUCAUUUAUGGACUGAUUUAGGUCAUUUUAAACCUAAUUUCACCCACCAAUUCAAACCCUAAAGAUCAAAUAAAAUUUCUCCAAAAACCUCCAUUUUCAAGAAGCUUCAAGCUCCAAGGAAGAGGACCAAGUUCUUCACGUUUUCUUCACCAAAUUUCGUGGGUUUCUUCAUAUUAAGGUUGGAGGCAAGUUGAAGUUUAGAAGGAAAGCUUGAAAAUUGACUCUCUCAAGACUAAGUAUGUCCUCAUAUAUUCGAGGGCAUAGUCUAUGUUUCUUUAAUAAUUCUUUAAGACUCGUAUUAGACUAUUUAUGUAUUUAUUUCAAUGUAAAGGGUUGUGUCCCUAAUAUGUUUAAGGUGUGUCUUUAAGAUUGCCUUGUGGCCAUGAGACUUAUUCCUCAGCUUUUAUAAAAGAUGUUUCUUAUUAUUAUA